AGAGUUUGAUCAUGGCUCAGGAUGAACGCUAGCGGCAGGCUUAACACAUGCAAGUCGAACGGUAACAGGUCUAGCUUGCUAGAUGCUGACGAGUGGCGCACGGGUGCGUAACGCGUAUACAAUUUACCUCUAACAGGGGGGUAGCCCAGAGAAAUUUGGAUUAAUACCCCAUAACACUAUUUUAAGGCAUCUUAAGAUAUUUAAAGCUUCGGCGGUUAGGGAUGGGCAUGCGUCCUAUUAGUUUGUUGGUGAGGUAACGGCUCACCAAGACUACGAUAGGUAGGGGGCCUGAGAGGGUGACCCCCCACACUGGUACUGAGACACGGACCAGACUCCUACGGGAGGCAGCAGUGAGGAAUAUUGCACAAUGGAGGAAACUCUGAUGCAGCCAUGCCGCGUGCAGGAUGACGGCCCUAUGGGUUGUAAACUGCUUUUAUACAGGAAGAAUCUUUUCUACGUGUAGAGAACUGACGGUACUGUAUGAAUAAGGACCGGCUAACUCCGUGCCAGCAGCCGCGGUAAUACGGAGGGUCCAAGCGUUAUCCGGAUUUAUUGGGUUUAAAGGGUACGUAGGCGGAAUUUUAAGUCAGUGGUGAAAUCUCACAGCUCAACUGUGAAACUGCCAUUGAUACUGGAAUUCUUGAGUAUAGUUGAGGUAGGCGGAAUGUGUCAUGUAGCGGUGAAAUGCAUAGAUAUGUCGUGGAACACCGAUUGCGAAGGCAGCUCACUAAGUUAGUAUUGACGCUGAGGCACGAAAGCGUGGGGAGCGAACAGGAUUAGAUACCCUGGUAGUCCACGCCGUAAACGAUGGUCACUCGCUGUUGGCGAUAUAAUGUCAGUGGCUGAGCGAAAGCAUUAAGUGACCCACCUGGGGAGUACGUUCGCAAGAAUGAAACUCAAAGGAAUUGACGGGGGCCCGCACAAGCGGUGGAGCAUGUGGUUUAAUUCGAUGAUACGCGAGGAACCUUACCUGGGCUUAAAUGUAUUUUGACAGAUCUGGAAACAGAUUUUUCUUCGGACAAUUUACAAGGUGCUGCAUGGUUGUCGUCAGCUCGUGCUGUGAGGUGUCGGGUUAAGUCCCAUAACGAGCGCAACCCCUAUCCUUAGUUGCCAGCGAGUAAUGUCGGGGACUCUAAGGAAACUGCCGGUGCAAACCGUGAGGAAGGUGGGGAUGACGUCAAAUCAUCACGGCCCUUACGUCCAGGGCUACACACGUGCUACAAUGGCGGAUACAAAGGGCAGCUACUUGGUGACAAGAUGCUAAUCUCUAAAGUCCGUCUCAGUUCGGAUCGAAGUCUGCAACUCGACUUCGUGAAGCUGGAAUCGCUAGUAAUCGGAUAUCAGCCAUGAUCCGGUGAAUACGUUCCCGGGCCUUGUACACACCGCCCGUCAAGCCAUGGAAGCUGGGAGUGCCUGAAGUCGGUGACCGCAAGGAGCUGCCUAAGGUAAAACUGGUAACUAGGGCUAAGUCGUAACAAGGUAGCCG
rnacentral:rRNA from 1 species